GCCAAGAAGUGCCAGCUACAUGGGAGGCUAAGGUGGGAACAUCGCUUGAGUCUAGGAGUUCUGGAAUGUAGUGCGCUAUGCUGAUCAGGUGUCUGCACUAAGUUCAGCAUCAAUUUGGUGACCUCCCGGGAGUGGGGGGUCACCAGGUUGCCUAAGGAGGGGUGAACCGGCCCAGGUCAGAAAUGGAGCAGGUCAAAAUCCCCCUACAUAUAGUCAGGAGUGGAGCCUGACUUGAAUCUAAGAUUCAAAUGCUAGUUCUCUUCCCACCUCCU
rnacentral:SRP_RNA from 1 species